UAGGGAAUCUUCGGCAAUGGACGAAAGUCUGACCGAGCAACGCCGCGUGAGUGAAGAAGGUUUUCGGAUCGUAAAACUCUGUUGUUAGAGAAGAACAAGGACGUUAGUAACUGAACGUCCCCUGACGGUAUCUAACCAGAAAGCCACGGCUAACUACGUGCCAGCAGCCGCGGUAAUACGUAGGUGGCAAGCGUUGUCCGGAUUUAUUGGGCGUAAAGCGAGCGCAGGCGGUUUCUUAAGUCUGAUGUGAAAGCCCCCGGCUCAACCGGGGAGGGUCAUUGGAAACUGGGAGACUUGAGUGCAGAAGAGGAGAGUGGAAUUCCAUGUGUAGCGGUGAAAUGCGUAGAUAUAUGGAGGAACACCGGUGGCGAAGGCGGCCCCCUGGACAAAGACUGACGCUCAGGUGCGAAAGCGUGGGGAGCAAACAGG
rnacentral:rRNA from 1 species